rfam:Hordeum vulgare subsp. vulgare, WGS project CAJW01000000 data, contig: morex_contig_48093
UGUAUACUCCCUCCGUCCGGAAAUACUUGUCCUAGAAAUGGAUAUAAUGGAUAUACUUGUCCUAGUUAUAGAUACAUCCAUUAUAUCCAUUUCUAGGACAAGUAUUUCCGGACGGAGGGAGUAUAUG